rnacentral:rRNA from 1 species
AGCAGCCGCGGUAAUUCCAGCUCCAAUAGCGUAUAUUAAAGUUGUUGCAGUUAAAAAGCUCGUAGUUGAAUUUCGGAAUUUGUCGGUUGGUCGGGCUUCACUGUCCGCACUGACCUGAUGGAUUCCUACCUUCUGAAUAACCAGCAUGCCAUUAAGUUAGUGCGUUGGGGAAGCAGAGCUAUUACCUUGAAAAAUUAGGGUGCUUAAAGCAGGCUUGUGCUUGAAUAGAUUAGCAUGGAAUAAUAAAAUAGGACGGCAUGGUUCUAUUUUGUUGGUUUCUAGGAUCACCGUAAUGAUUAAUAGGGAUAGUUGGGGGCAUUAGUAUUCAAUUGUCAGAGGUGAAAUUCUUGGAUUUAUUGAAGACUAACUUCUGCGAAAGCAUUUGCCAAGGAUGUUUUCAUUAAUCAAGAACGAAAGUUAGGGGAUCGAAGACGAUCAGAUACCGUCGUAGUCUUAACCACAAAC